rnacentral:pre_miRNA from 1 species
UUCAUACUCCCUCCGUUCCAAAUUACUCGUCGCAGAAAUGGAUGUAUCUAGAACUAAAAUACAUCUAGAUAUAUCCAUACCUGCGACAAGUAAUUCGAACGGAGGGAGUAGUUU